AGUGGGAUAGCUGGGUCAAAAGGUGGUUCCAGUUCCAGAUUUCUAAGAAAUCUCCAUACUGCUUUCCAUAUUGGCUGCACCAAUUUGCAGUCUCACCAGCAAU
rnacentral:pre_miRNA from 1 species